rnacentral:rRNA from 1 species
CCAAUGCGCGGUCCUACCAUGCAAGUCGUACGAGAAAUCCUGGGCAACCGGGAGAGUAAAGUGGCGCACGGGUGAGUAACGCGUGGGUAACCUGCCCUUGAGUUGGGGAUAACACUGCGAAAGUGGUGCUAAUACCGAAUAAUAUUUCAGUUCCUACGGGGAUUGAAAUCAAAGGUGGCCUCUGCAUGCAAGCUACUGCUCAAGGAUGGGCCCGCGUACCAUUAGCUAGUUGGUAGGGUAAUGGCCUACCAAGGCAACGAUGGUUAGCUGGUCUGAGAGGAUGGCCAGCCACACUGGAACUGAGACACGGUCCAGACUCCUACGGGAGGCAGCAGUGGGGAAUCUUGCGCAAUGGGGGAAACCCUGACGCAGCAACGCCGCGUGGGUGAUGAAGGCCUUCGGGUCGUAAAGCCCUGUCAGGUGGAAAGAAAUGUGUGGAUGCGAAUAACAUCCUCACUUGACGGUACCACCGGAGGAAGCACCGGCUAACUCCGUGCCAGCAGCCGCGGUAAUACGGAGGGUGCAAGCGUUGUUCGGAAUUAUUGGGCGUAAAGCGCGUGUAGGUGGUUGGGUAAGUCAGAUGUGAAAKCCUGAAGCUUAACUUCAGAAGUGCAUUUGAAACUGCCCAGCUAGAGUACGGGAGAGGAGAGUGGAAUUCCCGGUGUAGAGGUGAAAUUC